rnacentral:ncRNA from 1 species
GCUUCGGGGGGUGGUGAAAUUCCACACCGGCGGUGAUGGGGCAUAUGCCCACAAGUCCGCGAGCCCUUGCCCAUGGCGGGGCCGAAUCGGUCAGAAUCCGAUACCGACGGUAUAGUCCGGAUGAAAGAGGC